rnacentral:lncRNA from 1 species
ACGCGUUAAACCAGUCGCAAUUAGCACUGACAAAUACUGCUCUUAAUUAGUGGAAAAUAAGAUUAAAGAAGAAUCGAUUUUGAAAGAACCAUCUACAAUCACAGUAAAAUAAAUUAACAAAUAGAUGUGCUACGUCGGCGUUCCAAUUCUAUACCAUUCACUCUCUGCUACAAAACAUAAUUAAAUGCUCCAUGAUUAUUAAACCAAAAACCCCAUUAAUUAUUCUUUGGCUUACGUUACUUCAUUGAGUUUAUGUUCUAAGUCUCUUUCGUUUGGCAAUAUUAGUACUGAAAAAUGCGUUUUAGUUCCUUCAAACCCAUCAAAAGCUGCAUAUUCUCAUU